UACAGAGGAGCCAAGCGUUGUCCGGAAUCAUUGGGCGUAAAGCGCGCGUAGGCGGCCCGGUAAGUCCGCUGUAAAAGUCCAGGGCUCAACCCUGGAAAGCCGGUGGAUACUGUCGGGCUCGAGUCCGGAAGAGGCGAGUGGAAUUCCUGGUGUAGCGGUGGAAUGCGCAGAUAUCAGGAGGAACACCAAUAGCGAAGGCAGCUCGCUGGGACGGUACUGACGCUAAGGCGCGAAAGCGUGGGGAGCGAACAGG
rnacentral:rRNA from 1 species